rnacentral:rRNA from 1 species
AACUUUAAAAACACCAAUUUAAAGUUUAGGAGCUUGUCCGAUCCCAUUUCAUCUCAGAAGCUAAGCAGGGUUGGGCCUGGUUAAUACUUGCAUGGAAGACCACCUAUAAAGACCAGGUGCUGUAGGUG